GAUGAACGCUAGCGAUAGGCUUAACACAUGCAAGUCGAGGGGCAGCACAAGGUAGCUUGCUAUCUGGGUGGCGACCGGCGCACGGGUGCGUAACGCGUAUGCAACUUGCCCUAUACAGGAGGAUAACCCGUCGAAAGACGGACUAAUACUGCGUAUGCUCACAACUUGGCAUCAAGUGGUGAGGAAAGAAAUUCGGUAUAGGAUAGGCAUGUGUCCCAUUAGCUUGUUGGUGAGGUAACGGCUCACCAAGGCAACGAUGGGUAGGGGAACUGAGAGGUUUAUCCCCCACACUGGUACUGAGACACGGACCAGACUCCUACGGGAGGCAGCAGUGAGGAAUAUUGGUCAAUGGGCGCGAGCCUGAACCAGCCAAGUCGCGUGAAGGAUGACUGUCUUAUGGAUUGUAAACUUCUUUUAUACGGGAAUAACAAGAGUCACGUGUGACUCCCUGCAUGUACCGUAUGAAUAAGCAGCGGCUAACUCCGUG
rnacentral:rRNA from 1 species